CAUCCGCUCCGCUACUUUCCGCCGUAAGUCCGGCCUCACCUUCCGCGACUUCCGCCUCAUCCGCCGCAUCGGCUCCGGGGAUAUUGGUACUGUCUACCUCUGUCGCCUUACAAAAGAACAUAACAAAAACUAUAGAAAGGAAGAUUGUGAUGAUGAUGAGGAGGAGGAUGAUCGGUUGUGCUUUUAUGCGAUGAAGGUGGUG
rnacentral:misc_RNA from 1 species